CCCCGCGCAGCCGCACGGGCCGCCACGCCGCGCACGCCGUGCGGACCGCGCCCGAGCGGCCUGCGGGGCGGCCCUGCGGCCUGGCCCCCCGCGCUCCGGGGGCUCCGAGCGAGCGGCGACAGCCGCGGUAUGCAGGACGGCCCCGACUAGCGCGCCGAGCCCCGGGAGGCCUGGCGCGGAGGCGGGGGCGGGCGCGGCGGAGGCGGAGCCCGCUCGGGGCCCGCCCGCCCGCCGGGGGAGCCGCCGGCAGUGGCCGAGGAGGCGGCGCGGCGGACGGCGGCCCGAGAGUAGCGCCCGCGCUGCGGCCCGCGGGACCGCGCCGCGACCGCCCGGGCUCGGCCCGGAGGAGCGCCCGCCGCUGCCGCCGCCGCGCGCUUGGAGCGAGAGUGAAGCUCUUAGCCUGUUGCUCACCACAUCUCACCCUCGAGAUGCUCCUACUGUGGCAGAGAGGCAGAUGUUCAGACUUCUUAGAGGAGCAUAGUGACCUCAUACGGUGAAGCCAAAUUACGCUGUGAUGUUUGACCUGGUUUACCUGUUCUGAUAAUUGGGGAGAGAGUUGAGUUGAAUAAUCUUUGCCUGAAAUGGCACUGUAUUUUUUCUGCUUUGGAGAGUACUCAGUUCUAACUUGUGAUUAUUGAUAGAGAAGCCUUUCUUCCUCUCCCACCACCCUACUUCCCCAGCCUAGAGAAGAAUCUCAGUGCCUUUUAAUGUUUAUUGUGUGGUUUUCUUUAGAAAACCACCUGGCUGAUUUUAG
rnacentral:lncRNA from 1 species